AGCCAUGCGAGUCAUUGUAGUAAUACAAGGCAGACGGCUCAGUAACGCGUAGUCAACCUAACCUAUGGACGGGAAUAACCUCGGGAAACUGAGUAUAAUGCCCGAUAGAACAUUAUGCCUGGAAUGGUUUAUGUUCCAAAUGAUUUAUCGCCGUAGGAUGGGACUGCGGCCUAUCAGUUUGUUGGUGAGGUAAUGGCCCACCAAGACUAUUACAGGUACGGGCUCUGAGAGGAGUAGCCCGGAGAUGGGUACUGAGACACGGACCCAGGCCCUAUGGGGCGCAGCAGGCGAGAAAACUUUGCAAUGUGCGAAAGCACGACAAGGUUAAUCCGAGUGGUUUCUGCUAAAGGAACCUUUUGUCGGUCCUAGAAACACCGAUGAAUAAGGGGUGGGCAAGUUCUGGUGUCAGCCGCCGCGGUAAAACCAGCACCUCAAGUGGUCAGGAUGAUUAUUGGGCCUAAAGCAUCCGUAGCCGGCUCUGUAAGUUUUCGGUUAAAUCUGUACGCUCAACGUACAGGCUGCCGGGAAUACUGCAGAGCUAGGGAGUGGGAGAGGUAGACGGUACUCGGUAGGAAGGGGUAAAAUCCUUUGAUCUAUUGAUGACCACCUGUGGCGAAGGCGGUCUACCAGAACACGUCCGACGGUGAGGGAUGAAAGCUGGGGGAGCAAACCGGAUUAGAUACCCGGGUAGUCCCAGCUGUAAACUAUGCAAACUCAGUGAUGCAUUGGCUUGUGGCCAAUGCAGUGCUGCAGGGAAGCCGUUAAGUUUGCCGCCUGGGAAGUACGUACGCAAGUAUGAAACUUAAAGGAAUUGGCGGGG
rnacentral:rRNA from 1 species